GUCGGGAAUAUUGGACAAUGGGGGGAACCCUGAUCCAGCCAUGCCGCGUGGAGGAAGACUGCCCUCUGGGUUGUAAACUCCUUUUAUAUGGGAAGAACCGUCCUCAUUAAUGAGUGACCUGACGGUACCAUAGGAAUAAGCACCGGCUAACUCCGUGCCAGCAGCCGCGGUAAUACGGAGGGUGCAAGCGUUAUCCGGAUUCCCUGGGUUUCAAGGGUGCGUAGGCGGCUAAAUAAGUCCGUGGUGAAAUCAGCGGGCUCAACCUGUUAACGGCCAUUGGUACUGGGGAUCUUGAAUAUGAGAGAGGGAGGCGGAAUGUUGCAUGUAGCGGUGAAAUGCUUAGAUAUGCUACGGAACACCGAUUGCGAAGGCAGCUUACUAUGGCGUAAUUGACGCUGAGGCACGAAAGCGUGGGUAGCGAACAGGAUUAGAUACCCCUGUAGUCC
rnacentral:rRNA from 1 species